CCCGGCAGGGGGCGGAGGCUGGGCAGCCAGCAGGACCUGAACGCAGCGUACCGGCGUCGUGGCGUGGCUAAAAAGAUGGAAAUUGUGGAAUUGAAAGACUUCAAAACCUAAGUCAUGAAAUUGCGCCAGAGCCUGGAUCAUGCUUUUCUCAGACCCAGGAAUAUCCAGGGAGGGGAAGAGAGAGAGCAUGUGAGCAGAGGAAGGAGGCAGAGCAGAGGAAAUAGAGGUGAAGUAUAA
rnacentral:lncRNA from 1 species